UACGGGGGGGGCAAGCGUUGUUCGGAAUUACUGGGCGUAAAGGGCUCGUCGGCGGCCAACUAAGUCAGACGUGAAAUCCCUCGGCUUAACCGGGGAACUGCGUCUGAUACUGGAUGGCUUGAGUUUGGGAGAGGGAUGCGGAAUUCCAGGUGUAGCGGUGAAAUGCGUAGAUAUCUGGAGGAACACCGGUGGCGAAGGCGGCAUAAUGGACCAACACUGACGCUGAGUGAGCGAAAGCCAGGGGAGCAAACGGG
rnacentral:rRNA from 1 species